rnacentral:rRNA from 1 species
AAAGCCUCUAAGCAUCAGGUAACAUCAAAUCGUACCCCAAACCGACACAGGUGGUCAGGUAGAGAAUACCAAGGCGCUUGAGAGAACUCGGGUGAAGGAACUAGGCAAAAUGGUGCCGUAACUUCGGGAGAAGGCACGCUGAUAUGUAGGUGAAGCGACUUGCUCGUGGAGCUGAAAUCAGUCGAAGAUACCAGCUGGCUGCAACUGUUUAUUAAAAACACAGCACUGUGCAAACACGAAAGUGGACGUAUACGGUGUGACGCCUGCCCGGUGCCGGAAGGUUAAUUGAUGGGGUUAGCGGUAACGCGAAGCUCUUGAUCGAAGCCCCGGUAAACGGCGGCCGUAACUAUAACGGUCCUAAGGUAGCGAAAUUCCUUGUCGGGUAAGUUCCGACCUGCACGAAUGGCGUAAUGAUGGCCAGGCUGUCUCCACCCGGGACUCAGUGAAAUUGAACUCGCUGUGAAGAUGCAGUGUACCCGCGGCAAGACGGAAAGACCCCGUGAACCUUUACUAUAGCUUGACACUGAACAUUGAGCCUUGAUGUGUAGGAUAGGUGGGAGGCUUUGAAGUGUGGACGCCAGUCUGCAUGGAGCCGACCUUGAAAUACCACCCUUUAAUGUUUGAUGUUCUAACGUUGGCCCGUAAUCCGGGUUGCGGACAGUGUCUGGUGGGUAGUUUGACUGGGGCGGUCUCCUCCUAAAGAGUAACGGAGGAGCACGAAGGUUGGCUAAUCCUGGUCGGACAUCAGGAGGUUAGUGCAAUGGCAUAAGCCAGCUUGACUGCGAGCGUGACGGCGCGAGCAGGUGCGAAAGCAGGUCAUAGUGAUCCGGUGGUUCUGAAUGGAAGGGCCAUCGCUCAACGGAUAAAAGGUACUCCGGGGAUAACAGGCUGAUACCGCCCAAGAGUUCAUAUCGACGGCGGUGUUUGGCACCUCGAUGUCGGCUCAUCACAUCCUGGGGCUGAAGUAGGUCCCAAGGGUAUGGCUGUUCGCCAUUUAAAGUGGUACGCGAGCUGGGUUUAGAACGUCGUGAGACAGUUCGGUCCCUAUCUGCCGUGGGCGCUGGAGAACUGAGGGGGGCUGCUCCUAGUACGAGAGGACCGGAGUGGACGCAUCACUGGUGUUCGGGUUGUCAUGCCAAUGGCACUGCCCGGUAGCUAAAUGCGGAAGAGAUAAGUGCUGAAAGCAUCUAAGCACGAAACUUGCCCCGAGAUGAGUUCUCCCUGAGACUUAGAGUCUCCUGAAGGAACGUUGAAGACGACGACGUUGAUAGGCCGGGUGUGUAAGCGCAGCGAUGCGUUGAGCUAACCGGUACUAAUGAACCGUGAGGCUUAACCUU